CUCGUCUUCAUCCUCUUUAGCCGCCACAGGCUGCUGGAAGAAGAGCGUGAAAGGCAUUGAGGAACCUUCUCUGUUUACCAAUCUGCCCGCUGCACUCCAUCUGCUUCCCCAACAACGAAGCACCAAGCCGACGCUUUCGUCAACGAGUCGCACUUGGCGUCAACUAGCGACACACAACAAGAGAGACGCCGGUCAAGAGAUGCCCGUGACCUGGAUGGACGUUUGACAAACAACGCUGGUUUGCUUCCCUAAAGUAGAUUAGCUUAGCAAGGCUUAUGUAAGAGUUGACCGCUAGCCGUCAUGGGCUAGCAUCUCGGUUAGCAUGACUGCGACAAGUGGAUACCCAGGGUGGCGGGGCGACAUGCAGCAGCUGAAGCAAAUUAGAAAGACAACAGGCCACCCUCAUAAAAUAGAAAAUAUGUGCAUCCUGCCUGUUACAUAAUGUGAGGAGAAACGCAAGUACCGUUUUUUUCCGUGUAUAAUGCGCCCCCAUGUAUAAUACGCACCCUAAAAAUGUCAUGUUGAUGCUGGUAAAAAGCCUGUACCCAUGUAUAAUACGCACCCAAAUUUUGACUCCUACUUAAGUCCGUAAACGUAAAAUUAUUUCAGAAAAAAGAUCAUCUUUGGGAACAACGGGAUGUUAUUCUGCCGGUCAGUAUCACUGCGCAUGCGCUAGCAAACUCGAUAGCGAAGAAAUGUUACAUUGUGACAGCAAACGAGCAGGUGAUCGAGCAAGCGUCUGAUACCAGAGCAUUGUGUUCGUAUGGAGCGUGUUUGAAGUGAACAGCAGAGAAGAAAGCGCAUCUGUAAUGGCGGUCUUUGUAUCAUAUACGGAUUUAAAAAAAAAAAUAAUAAUAAUUUUUUUUUUGUACCCAUGUAUAAUGCGCACCCCAGAUUUUAGGACAAUAAAUUAGUUAAAUUUUGCGCAUUAUACAUGGAAAAAAACGGUAGAUACUAAAACACAUCUUUAUACUGUCUGCAAGACAUCACGCUAACCACAGAAGAUUCACGGAAGGUGCGCCUGCAGACUAGCUGCACUGGUCAUACUCGCUCACACUGGCCAAACUUGUCAACUAGCCGCAGUCGUUAGCAAGCCAGACUUUUCACUUCUUUUCAACUGGCAGAAUUCACCAAGGUGCCACUCUCACCAACUAUUCCCAUUCCGCCAUUCGUCACGCUUGUCACGUUCAUCCGGUGCAACAAACUGACUAGUUGAUGUCAAUUUGUUGCACCGGUCUGUGUUUACAUAUCAAGGGAGUGCCGUCAUGCUGCUGCUCAAGUGUCCAGGGACGCAAGCAUUAACCAAAAUCGACAUCCCUCUGCCUCGCAGUAUCGAAGUACCACAGUGAACAUCCCCAAGAAUUGAGUUUGUCGUCCUAAUUUAAAAAAAAAAAAAAAAGAAAACAAAAA